CCGGCAGCGCGCGGCGGCGGGCAGGGCCGGCGCGUUAGCGAGCCCGCAGAGGCUGAAUCUAGGCCCCGGUGGGGCUGGGAACCGCAGAGGCCUGGGCAGCUGCGGGUUGUGGACUUUAGGCCACACUUCCCCAGUCUCCCGGCCAAUUCGGGGGAGGGUGGCCGUUGAAGGCGGCGGUGUAUUACGUGGCUGACCUGAGAGACUAUGCUCGCACGUCACUUCCGACUGGCUAAGGUUUAGCAUUUUAACCAUCAGGCAGUAGUUGGUGCGUUAUCCUGGCUGCAGACCGAGGUGCACCUUAUCCUCUCUAAUUUUAUGAUGUAUUAAGGUUCUCUAGAGCUACAGAACUUAGUGAAUGUUUCCAUAUAAUUAAUUGUGAUGACUUACAGGCUGUAGUCCGACUAACUCAACAUUGGGCAGCAGUGGAUGGGAAGUCCAAGAAUAUAGUAGUUGCUCAGUCCCACGAGGGUAGGUGUUUCAGCGGGUCUUCUGUAGAGGUAGGUUCCAACAGAUGUGCUGGCUAGUAAGUGCGAGCAGGCACAGAAGAGAAUCUUCUUCUUCUGUCCUUAUGUAGAAUUCCAGCAGAAGGUGUGGCCCAGAUUAAGGUGUGUACCACCCGGCCAGGAUCUGGGACUUGCUUUGUCCCAGGCUGACCUUGAACUCCGAGAUCUCCUUGCCUUGGUCACCUGGGAUUAUAGUCGUGUACUGCCUUGCCUGAUCCUAAACUUCCAGGCCACUAUACCUCAAAAGUUCUAUGUCAAGAUCCAAAUCAGAAACUUGUGUCUUCCUAGGUCAAGAUCUGGAUUACAGGUGUGUCCUCCAAUUCUGGAUUGUAGUUCCAGAUAAAGUUGAUACCAGGAAUAGCUACCACAGCUGACAUUCAUGAAAUGCUUUCCCUGGCUGGAGCUGGAGCGUGGAAAACCGGUCUGGUCCAGUCCUUUGCUGCUCACAUUAUCUGUCCUCGACAUCCUGGGGGGAGGGGGUGAGGUAGGGAGGGGGGCCAGAUCUAGUCCUCAGGAAGCACCGGGUGGGAACCAAAGCUUUCUUUCUCUUUGAAGACCUUGGCUUAAGUUUCCCUGGGAGAGCAGAUGGAGCUUGUAGAUGGACUCCAGGCUUGCACUAUGGCCUCCUUGUAUUUUAUAAAAAGAUGUGGAGAGAAGGAACAUGUUUGGUGGAUGUGUAGUCAGGUGUGGGGGAAGGGGUGCCUCUGGGGGCCCAUGCUGAGGCAUCCCUUACCCCUGAGGAACCAGCCACAGGACCAUAUAGUAUAGAAUAGAGUUUAUUUAGGGCAUGGGGAGGGGAGUAGAGAGGGGAGUAGAGACAGAGAAGGGGAGAGAGAGAGAGAGAGAGAGAGAGAGAGGAGGAGGAGAGAGCUGCCAUGGCUAUGAGCAUGUGGAGGGGGGAGGGGAAUGGGGAGAGAAGGGGGAAGGGGUGGUGGGAUAGGAGAGAGUGAGAGCGAGAAGGCAAGAUAGGUAACUGGGGCAGUGCCUAGAUAAAGUGCUAACACUUCUUGUUUUUGGAAGUGUCAUAAAUCUGUGAUGAUGAAGAUUUUUGUGGAAGGGAAUGAGUUCAUGCGGAGGGAAUGUCUGAUAGUACAGAUGUAAUGGACUCAGGAGGAAUUAAUGCUAGGACGCAUAUUCAUACACCGGUUGCAUAGGUAGCUUGUCCUGUUGUGAGACAGACCUUUUCUAGGGAGAUAAACACACGUCUGUGCACCUCAUGAACUGACACUGACUAAAAAUAUAAGUACUACUGAAGUCUGAUGUGGUGCAGCAUGAGUUUUACUGGCGUUAUUUAGAGGAAUAUGGGUAAGGAGUUACUUACAGGAAUAACUCAAAGACACUGUCACCAAAGUCCACCCCAGUGUAAUUGACAGCUUACUUAGCUGGAAACCUGGAGCCCACUGCCUGGAACCACAGGUUGAGGGUAUCUUUCCAAUUAGUUGUGUGCAUCUUCCAGGCUGCCGGUUCUGAUUUCUUGCAGUCAUCAUCUGCUUCUGCUGGGCUUGUCUGGAGAGUGUCUCUCUGCAGUGUCUGCUGUUGAAUGUUGUCUUGAGGAAGAGGUUUUGGACUUGCCGAAGCUGUCAUGCAUUGUUUACUUUGUGUCUUCACGUGCUUCCCAGUAGCACGUCACUUCUUAGAACAUCCUGUUUUAUGUUUCUAUAAACCUCUUAGGAACUUUCCCUUCAUGAUGGAAGGUUUUAAUCUCAGGGGAAGACUUUGAAGCACUCCCUACUUCCUACUACACUUGGCGGGCAUCGUAUUUGCAUGUGUUUGAAUGUGUGUUCUCCUUUCAGAGGAAGUGGUUCCUCUUUGAUUUUAGUUUUUCACAAACAGGGUGUGGUUUUGGCUUCUUUGAGAUUGCAUUUUGUGUAGUCUAGCCUGAACUCUUGAGGUCAUUAGGAAGCUCGAUCCUUCUGCUUCACCUCAGAGUGCUAGAAUUACAUGUGUUGGCUACUACAGCUAAAAUACAUGUUUAACCCUUCAUACUAGAGUCCAAAGCCAUUUUAAGAUCAGGAAACAGGCAGUAUCUGAGGUUAAAGAUUUAGGACCACAAAUGUCAAAUACAACAAAUUGACUUAAAAAAAUUGUCUUUACUGUUUUUUGUUCUGUUGUUGUUUUGUUUUUGCUCUGCUUUCAUGGUAGCCAGUUAUUUUAAGGGUAAAUUUGAUAAUUAGUAAUUUUUCCUCCACUUCAUUUUGUCAUAUUUGCUCAUUAGAGAUUAUAAACUGCAGCAGUUGUAUAGUUAAUAAACACCUUAUUUCUAACAUAAGGUAGCUUGAAACUAGUCUUUUAUCACUGUCUCUUAAAAAUAUCCCAGUGUGGUCUUUCCCUUUGUAUACCUUUCUGUUAUGAGGACUUUCCCCCUCCCCUUUUAGUCUUGUAUCUUGAGAAUUUUCUCCGGUCAUCUGCCCUGUCCCACUCUUUCUUCUUGGUGCCCUCUGAAGUGUAUGGAGGAAAAGGCAAAUAGGUUUGAUUACCAUGUGCCAGGCUCCCAGAAGUUCUGAACUUACUGUUCCAGUUCACAAGUAACUGUAGCUAACACUCCCCGUGUCCUCUGCUAACCCAAGGUGCCCUGUUCUCUGUUGCACCUUGGGCUUCCAUGGUGAUGAUGCUCACAUCUGGUCUCUGGGAGCUGAGUGGUGGGGCUUUCAGUCUACUUGGGUAGCUCUCUGAAGGGUUAAAGAGUUGGGUUGUCUCAGUAGGGUUUUUCUUGUCAUCAGGAAAGCAACAGUGUUUUGUCAAGCUUUGUGCAUUGCCACAGAAACUCAAAAAUAAAACUAUUGUGUGUCAUACGUUGUUACUUUUUUCAGUGAAGGGCUUCAUUUCAUAGAAAUGUUUUCCCCCUGAGUUUGAAUGUGUGUUUUUACAUCUGAAACUUGGUGGCAGUGUGGACCUCCUAAAGUGCUGCCAGCCUUGACUGAUUGUCUUCAGGUUCACUUUCAGGAGCUGGAUAUCAUCUUUAUUUCAAGAUUUCUUACAAGUUUUAUACCUUUUAAAAUUGCUCUGCUCCUUGGUCUUUGACUAAACAGGCUUUUACUUCUGAGCUUGUUCCAUGUGGGUGUUUGAAAGCGAUAUCCUCCAAAUGAAAUCUGAUGUGCUUUUUCAGCUUUUUUUUUAGGCAGGGGUGUGCCUAAUGGUAAUGUUGUUGCUGGGAUUUUGAACUCUGGACCUUUGGAAGAGCAGUCACUGCUCUUAACCUCUGAGCCAUCUCUCCAGCCCCAGCCUAAUGGUAAUGUAAACCAUCGUAAUGGUAAUGAUUUCCUCUUAUUUUAAUGUUGCUUUCAAGCUCUCAAAUUGGUGAACCAGGUCACUUCCAUGCUGGUCUCUUCUCCAACUACAGCAGCUUCUCAUGGUUGAAUCCCUAAUUGUUGAGAGGUUGUAAGGUUUAGUUUCUGGUAUAUCAUGUUUAAGGUGCAAAGCUCUUUGAUUUCAGUAAGUAUAUGGUAGGGUGUGUUUCAGCUCCUCUGGAGAGAAGGGGCAGAGCAAGGUGAGAUCUGUGGCAGGAACAGUGAAAUGGCAGUGGGGGGGGGGGGGGAGGAAGCAGAGGUGGGAUGUAUUCGGUUAGUGUCCAAACAAACAUCAGGUCCUGGGGUCUCAGCAUUGCUCCCUUGAUGUUCCUUUCCCUCUAGUUAAAUAAGGGCCUUAUGAUAAUCUCAGUGGUCUUUAGACAACACAUGCUAAUUCAUCCUUGACAACUUCCUCUCUUUUGGCCAAGAAAGUUCUUCAGGAUGUGUGCAUUUUGUAGGGUGCUACUCUGUCCUGUUUAACAAUAGCUUGCUACUCCUAUCCUAAUCGACUGCUUAGCUGUCAAUUUUUCCAGAACUUAAUCCAUCUGAAAGAAAUAUAGCUAAUGUAAAAUAUGUUUAGCAGCCUUUAGUGACUGCUUUAUUCAAACAUGUCUGAAUAUAGGCUCUUUCAUCAUUGAGGUUAGUGAGCAGCCACACUUCCUGCCAUGGUGAUGAAUCCAGGUACAGCUUUGGAUUUUUCUCAUUAUACCUGAUGCUCUCACUGCAUCCCCAUUCCUUAGUAUGUCUGAGUAUCUGGAUGCUUGUUAGUUGUUAAACGGACGCAGGUCUCUCCCUAAGUCCAGCCCCCCUGUUAGGCAUUUGAAUUCCAGAAUGCCUAUUGAACAGUCUUUAGAGGAAACACUUCAGGGCCUGGGAAUCUAUGUCCUUGUUACUGUAGGAAUCAUCAGGAGACCAGCAGCAUCCAGACCAACCUUGUCACAAACAUGGGCUCUCGCACUUGGCAGCUGACUUUCCAGCAGGUCGUGGUGAAAUCCUGGUGAUUGCUGUGCACAGGAAAGCGGGGACUGCAUAAUUCCUUCCUAAAGUCUUGAUAUAGCUCAUUAGGAAGAUCUCUAGGCCCAUCUACAGACCAGGUCCAUAUUAUUUCCUGCAUCUCCACUGCUCUUGCUGGGAGGAGGGCUGUUUCCAUCCUAGUGGAAUUUCCUUCAGUGUCUCAGUUCUCUUCUUGGAUAUAACUAGAACAAUCUUUUACAGAGUAAAGUUGUUCAGGCUGAAGAGAUGGUGCAGAGGUUGAAUUCACUGACUGUGCUUCCAGAGGUCCUGAGUUCUAUACCCAGCAACCACGUGGUGGUUCACAACCAUUUGUAAUGUGAUCUUGGCGCCCUCUUCUGGCAUGCUAGCAGAACACUGUACAUAAUAAAUAUAUAUAUAUAUAUAUUUUAAAAGAGCUAAUAAAAUCUAAUCCUUGAAAAAAAAAGUAAAGUUGUUCUAUGUUUGUUUUGCUCAAAACUCCCUCCCUCAAAGAAAGAAAUCUAGUAACCCCUGUCCAUCCUCUGAUGUCUAUAACUACCUCCUGGGCAUAAUUUAUAAUCAAAUGAAUUACACUUUAUUUUUUCCUGUUAUAGCAUAUAUGCUUCAUAGAUUGAACGUGUUGUUAAAAGUUCUAAUCACCAGAGGCUUUAGUGAGUUGUAAUCUUUCUGGUAGGAGUUCUUGCUUGGAUAUUGAUAGUUGCUGAUCAAGGUGUGGCUGCUUAAAGUUGGAGUAGCUGUGGCUUUUGAUUGAAAUUGGGUCUCAUUUUGUAGUCCAGGCUAGCCUUAAGCUCCGGAUUCUCCUCUUACAUUGUCCAAUUGUACUGCUGUGACAGGGCGAUUGAAGGAAGACAGGACGGCAAUGUUGCUCCGUCAGUCAGGCUCUCCCUUCACAGACAUUUCUCCUGAGCGGAGCCAGGUGUGGUGGUGCAUAUCUAUAAUUCUAGCAAUCAAGAUGCUGAGACACGAGGAUUGCUGUGAAGCCAGCUUGGGCUACAUAGCAAGGCUCUUUUUAUCCCCAUCCUGCCUCCCACCUCCAUGGUGUAUAGUGGCAUUUAGUGUUCUUUUACCCACUGCAUAAAAUUUUAAGAAUUGGGGUUAGUCUUCUGACAACCAUCCUGCUGCCUUAUCAGCUGCUGUCUGUAGAAGUCUAAACACUUGGCUCACUUUGAACAAUGUCAGCAGUAGUGGGCCGCAGCCCCUCUGUGGGGUCAAGCACCCCCUUCAUGGUGGUUGCACAGUAGAUGUCCUGCACAUCCAAUAUUUAUAGUAUAGUUCGUAACAGUACCAAAAUUAAAACUGUGAAGUAGCAGCAAAAUAAUUUUUAUGGUUAGGGUCACUACAACAUGAACUGUAUUUUAAAAGACUACAUUAGGAAGGUUGAGAACCAGUGGUCUAUAGCAUGUUGCACGAUUUCAUUUUAAGAAACUUUCAUGCUGGCUUACAACCAUCUGUAAUGAGAUCUGAUGCUCUCUUCUGGUGUACCUGAAGACAGCUACAGUGUAUUCAUAUACAUAAUUCUUUUAAAAUAAAGAAAAGAAACACAUACUUUGUACAGGGUCAGUCUAUUGAGACCCAGGCUGUCUUUAAGCUUGUAGUUUUCCCUGUCUGCUGAGUAUGCACAACCUGACUGGCCAAGAAACCACUCCCCAAUCACCUGUGAGAAGAAACUUCUGUCUCUAUCACGUGAUUUCAACAAUUCAGUCAUGUCUUACAGCAGUGCCUCUGAUUGGCCACUGAUGUCUUGAUCCUCUGGAGCAGCAGUUCUCACCCUACCUAACGCUGCUGCAACCCUUUAAUAUAGUUCCUCAUGUUGUGGUGACCCCCAACCAUAAAUUAUUUUUGUUACUACUUUAUUACUGUUAUGAAUCAUAGUGUAAAUAUUGGAUAUGCAUGAUAGCUGUAAAAGGACUGACCCUAAAGGGGUCAUGACCCACAGGAUGAGAACCACUGCUCUAGAGUCGUUUAUGAGAGCUGGAACCAUCUUCUGCACUGUUUCCGUUGUGGCAACCUUCCAUGAAUCAUAAGUAUUCUUCAUGAAAUCUAGAGUGGUGGCUCCUUUGCAGGAAGUUUUAAUUUACCCAGGUACUUCAGGGGAGUCACUAUGAAAUGUGUUUCUUGGGCUGGAGAGAUGUCUCAGUGGUUAAGAGCACUGUCUGCUCUUCUGAAGGUCCUGAGUUCAAAUCCCAGCAACCACAUGGUGGCUCACAAGCAUCUGUAAUGAGAUCUGAUGCCCCCUUCUGGAGUGUCUGAAGACAGCUACAGUGUACUUACAUAUAAUAAUUAAAAAAUUGUGUUUUUUUCAGUAGUUAGUGAAGUGGUUUGAAUAUGCUUGGCCUGGGGGUGUGUGUGGCACAUAGGAGGUGUGGCCUUGUUGGAGGAAGUGUGUCAUUAGGGUGGGCAAUGAGACUUCUAACCAUGCGAGAACCAGACUUCUAGCCAUCUUCAGAUGAAGAUGUCGAACUCUCAUCUGCUUUUGUAGAUGUAGAAGCUCCUCCUGCCUGCCAGGACACUGGUCCAGUGUCCUGGACCAAGCCUGCCUGGACACUGUAAUCCGAUCUAAGGGCCUGGCUCCACCCAUUACUCAGUCCAGCCCUAUGGGAAAUAUUGGAUCACAGCUGGACCUGCAAGACCUGGCUGUACCUCACAUUCCUCUCCAUAAGACUACUUAACACUUUCUCCCUAGAACACAGACAGGACAGUGUCCUGGGGUGUAAGCACUGAAAGAUCCUCUUGCUUAUUAACAACAUAGCAACAAGAGCAAAUAACAGCACAGCAACAACUUUCUGCAGAGACCUGACAGAUUCCUCCAUGACCUUCAGAUCUUCACAGUCUCCCUUCCUGGUGGGGACUAUGCUGAGUACCAUCCUUGUCCCACACAGCAUCACAUUCCUUGUCCCACCUCCACGUUUUUAUUACCCAUCACCUAGCACUUCACAUGUCCUGUGGGGACACAUACUGUGCUUGAGUUCCUUCUCUCUUCCACUAGAACAUUGCUAGCCACGGUGGCCUUUUUAGACCUUUGGUGUAUCCUGCUAUAAAAAUUAUUCGCCAUGUAGACGAUGCUCAAUAAAUGUUGGAUGGAUGAGCCCCCCCCCUUUUUGGAGAGGAGAGGUCUUGAUUAGUGGCAUUUCAGCCAGUACUCCUUUGUGGCAGCUGUGGCACAAAUUAUUCAUACACUGAGCACUCACCUUCCUGUUAUACAGCACCUGCACGGAGGUCUGAGGACAGCUUGGGGAACUGUCUCUCUGUCCACCAUCAGAUGACUGAACUUAGACCCUUAGGCUUGGCCACAAGUACCUUCACCCACCGAAUCACCAGCCCAGGGAUUGCUUUCCUUUUCUUCAGAAGAGAUGAUCCUUGAUUAAUGGAUUGUAUCUUCUGAUCAAAUAAAAACCUAAGUCACAUUAUCA